rnacentral:lncRNA from 1 species
AUGUCACAUUCUCUGUAUAUAUGUUCGAUCCAGUCACUUAAGCAACACUCUACAUUUUCUUUUCAUUUCUCCCAAUUUCAGGGUAAGACAAAACUACUUGAACUGAUGCACAAUCACAUAGUGUCCACUUCUCAGUUGAGUGCCAGCUUCAUUGUGUCGAAUCUUCGUGCUGUGACCUUGGCGGACCAGGUCCUGACAUUUAAUGUAACAACUGCUGUAAGUGUUAAAAUAAAUCAAAUGUUAAAAUAAAUUGAAAAUAUGGCAAUCAAAAGUAUUGGAGCACCUAAGAAACAUAGAAUGCAUUAUA